rnacentral:snoRNA from 1 species
UGUAUCGAUGAUGAUAUUUAGGCUCCCUCUACUGAACACUGUGAGGAGAUUGCCUCUGUUACCCAAAUUCUGUCUGAGAUACU